GAUGAGUUUCCUUGAAAGAUAUCAAGGAAAAUAGCAUCAUAAGAUAAUGUAUUUCUCCAUUAGGAGAAGAACGGACUCAAAUAAGAUUUAGUUCGUUAGAUGUUAUCUAUUACCCAUAUAUAGGAUAUAUACUUCUAAAACAAUAUGAUUGUCAAUUAGAAGAUCUUCCAAAAUUUUCAUAACUCCAUAAGAUGUAGUUGGAAAAGAAAGACAAAUCUUAAGCAUGUUAAAGAUUUGGGGUUGUGUGCUAACUAGCAAUAUUUGUUUGAUAACAAUCUUGUAGGAUAUCCUUAAAAUAACUUUUGGAUAUCGCUUCUAUAAACCAACUAACAAAGGUUGUUUUGUUAGGUAGUUCAUUGUAAUCCUACAAUGUGAUUUGCCUAAGAUGCAAAUGAACGAGAGAUAGAACUCAAAGAAUGGGUUCUUUGAGAGACAAGAAAGUAAUCAACAAAUAUAACAACCUAGUUCCUAUACCACAAGCUCCAAGGUAGUCGAUAAGAAUGAAAAUCCUUAUGACUACAUUGAGUGCAUAUACGAUAUAUACUCAAGAAAAUGGUAAAGUACCAUUUGACUCGAAAUAAUGAAACCUUCAAGCUAAUUGGUAGCUUAAGGUGACUACAAUCAAAGAGAAUGGUUGACUUUGAAGAAACCAUCUUUGAGAUAGUCUUGGUUUCAAUUAAUUCGAAGAUUGCUAGCUACAACUAAAUGGUGAUUCAAUGUUUUGACAUAAUAUGGGUUUCCGAAACCAUUAUUAAGAUAGUCUUGAUAAUAUAUGUCUAAAACUAUAAAUCACAAGACAUGUAAGUUGUAGAGAUCCAUCCAUCAUGGAUCUUAGCAAGUUAGUGGGAGCUAUUUGCAUUUUAUGAGAAAAGGAUCAAAUCGUUUGAUUUCUCAUAAAGAUGUAAAUGAAUCUUUUGUUUACUAGUUUUACAAAAGAUUAGUGGGAGUUAAUCAUGUUCGUAAAAUUUAAGUAUAUAUAUGAUAUAUUAAUUUUGGAAAUGAAAAGAAAGCUUCUUCGUUAAAGUUAUGACUUUAAGCAUUCUAUAAACGAUAGAAUGUAUAUGGGAGAUAUAGUCUAUAUACAUGGGAUGGAAAUCUAUAAUGAUAUAUUUCGUGAUAUAAUUGGAUUAUAUCAAUCCCUAAUAAUAGACAAUGGAUGCUAGG
rnacentral:lncRNA from 1 species